rnacentral:tRNA from 1 species
ACCCUGGUAGUUUAAACGGAUUAAAACAACAGACUUCUACUCUGUACGAUGCAGGUUCGACUCCUGCCCAGGGUACCA